CGCGGCGUCGAUCACGUCGAGGCCGCGGAGGGUGAAGCCGUUCGCCGAGGAGCUCUUCUCGACGGGGUCGCCGGAGGGGGUCUCGUCCAGCAGGAUCGAGGCGUCGCAUCCCUGAUGAUGAUCAUCGAUCGAAUAUUGAUCAACAAGGUAAUUCAAUAUUAGCACGUACGUACGUACAUUACUGCAUUGCAUGCAUGCAUGCAAUCCUUAUUAUAUAUCUACGUACGUACGUAUAGUGGAAUUGCAUGAUACAUAGCUCCAUUAGUCUAAAAUGGUUUGAUUUAUAUAUAUAUAUGUAUGGUAUAUAUAUAAAUCUCCAUUACAUUGCUCAAACAACUCUAAAUUAGAUCUUAGAAUUUAGUUAAGAUAAGCAUUGUGCAUGUAAAAUUAUAUAGGAUGACUCGCCCGGACGAAGCAAUCGUGGAAAUAGAGGCGGAUGAGGCCGGCAGCGAUGGUGGGGUCGACGGCGUGGCGGGCCGUGACUGCCUCGCGCACGAUUUCCUCGGCCUUCGGGCAGGUGGAGUUGUAAUACCCCACCCUGAGC
rnacentral:lncRNA from 1 species